ncrna:unclassified sequences Transposase-2 RNA
GAAGUGCGAACCAAGCGAGCGCCCCAGCGCUGUAAGACUUGGAGCGGGAGCCCGCAAGGACUCCCUACA